rnacentral:rRNA from 1 species
ACUCCUACGGGAGGCAGCAGUAAGGAAUAUUGGACAAUGGGCGCAAGCCUGAUCCAGCCAUCCCGCGUGCAGGAAGACAGCCCUAUGGGUUUUAAACUGCUUUUAGAAGGGAAGAAACGCCUACAUUUAUGUGGGUUUGACGGUACCUUCAGAAUAAGCACCGGCUAACUCCGUGCCAGCAGCCGCGGUAAUACGGAGGGUGCGAGCGUUAUCCGGAUUUAUUGGGUUUAAAGGGUGCGUAGGUGGAAGUAUAAGUCAGUGGUGAAAGUUUGCCGCUUAACGGUAAAAUUGCCAUUGAAACUGUAUUUCUUGAGAGUAUUCGAAGUAGGCGGAAUGAGUAAUGUAGCGGUGAAAUGCAUAGAUAUUACUCAGAACACCGAUUGCGUAGGCAGCUUACUAGGAUAUUUCUGACACUGAUGCACGAAAGCGUGGGGAGCGAACAGGAUUAGAUACCCUGGUAGGAUAGCGU